rnacentral:rRNA from 1 species
AAAGGGAGCGUAGGCGGACUGUUAAGUUAGAGGUGAAAGCCCAGGGCUCAACCUUGGAAUUGCCUUUGAUACUGGCAGUCUUGAGUACGGAAGAGGUAUGUGGAACUCCGAGUGUAGAGGUGAAAUUCGUAGAUAUUCGGAAGAACACCAGUGGCGAAGGCGACAUACUGGUCCGUUACUGACGCUGAGGCUCGAAAGCGUGGGGAGCAAACAGGAUUAGAUACCCCAGU